UCGAGAAUCUUCGGCAAUGGGCGCAAGCCUGACCGAGCGACGCCGCGUGCGGGAUGAAGGCCUUCGGGCUGUAAACCGCUGUCAGAGGGGAGGAAAUGCGUGGUAGUUAUCUUCCAUAUUUGACCUAUCCUCAGAGGAAGUACGGGCUAAGUUCGUGCCAGCAGCCGCGGUAAUACGAACCGUACGAACGUUAUUCGGAUUCACUGGGCUUAAAGCGUGCGUAGGCGGCUGGGAAAGUUGGGUGUGAAAGCCCUCGGCUCAACCGAGGAAUUGCGCUCAAAACUACCUGGCUUGAGGGAGAUAGAGGUGAGCGGAACUGAUGGUGGAGCGGUGAAAUGCGUUGAUAUCAUCAGGAACACCUGUGGCGAAAGCAGCUCACUGGGUCUUUUCUGAUGCUGAGGCACGAAAGCUAGGGGAGCGAACGG
rnacentral:rRNA from 1 species